rnacentral:rRNA from 1 species
UACAGAGGUCCCAAGCGUUGUUCGGAUUCACUGGGCGUAAAGGGUGCGUAGGUGGUCGGGUAAGUUUGAGGUGAAAGCUCCGGGCUCAACCCGGAAAUGGCCUUAAAGACUAUCCGGCUCGAGGGUUGGAAGGGGGACUGGAAUUCUCGGUGUAGCAGUGAAAUGCGUAGAUAUCGAGAGGAACACCAGUGGCGAAGGCGAGUCCCUGGACAACACCUGACACUGAGGCACGAAAGCUAGGGGAGCAAACGGG